ensembl:snRNA U6 U6 spliceosomal RNA
GUAUUCACUUUGGUAGCACAUACACUAAAAUUAGAACAAUACAUAAAAGAUUAUCACCACCCCUGCUCAAGGAUAACAAACCAAUUUAUGAAACAUUCCAUAUUUUA